rnacentral:rRNA from 1 species
UACGUAGGGUGCGAGCGUUGUCCGGAAUCAUUGGGCGUAAAGCGCGUGUAGGCGGGUCGGUAAGUCCGCUCUGAAAGCCCGGGGCUCAACCCCGGGAGGCGGGUGGAUACUGUCGACCUCGAGUCCGGAAGAGGCGAGUGGAAUUCCUGGUGUAGCGGUGAAAUGCGCAGAUAUCAGGAGGAACACCUGUGGCGAAAGCGGCUCACUGGACCACAACUGACGCUGAGGCGCGAAAGCUAGGGGAGCAAACAGG